rnacentral:lncRNA from 1 species
GCUUGCCCGCCUGCUCCUUCGGGAGUUGUACGAUUUUUGAACCGUCUGUUGAAUAAAUGUGUUAUCAGCCUCCUGAGACUGAUAUUUGUAUCACAUUUAAUCUCUACUUAUGUGGGGAUGCUUCAGCGGCGUGGGGAGAGGGAGGGAGAGGGUGGCCGGCGGCGCAGGGGAGGCUGACGCUGGGGAAGAGGAAGGGAGGCCGGCGUGGGGAAGAGGCAGGACCAGCCGAUGUGGAGCAAAGGGAGAAGGAGAGGAGAGGAGGGAGAAGGGUGGUGGGGCCCAUAGGGGCACAAUCAUCUUUUCACCGGGUAUUUAACGGUUCACAGAUGGAAAAUCCAACAGAGUGUCAUAUAACGAAUGAACGUUGAACUCGGUGUCAAAUAGGGAACGAAAAUUUUCUAAGGAUCAAGAAAGGAACAAGUAGUUUUUUCUAGUGUCAAAUAGGGAAUUCUCUCUCCUCACGUGAUUUGUUUCACACGUGAUUUGUGCCCCACAGCUGCCAAACGAAGCCUCAAAGUGAGAGCUGAGCAUCAUCUGGC